UGUAGAUCGCCCAGCUAGAUGAGGUAUAGACCCUCUGUCUCUCUGUAGAUCGCCCAGCUAGAUGAGGUAUAGAUCCUCUGUCUCUCUGUAGAUAGCCCAGCUAGAUGAGGUAUUGACCCUCUCUGUCUCUCUGUAGAUAGCCCAGCUAGAUGAGGUAUUGACCCUCUCUGUCUCUCUGUAGAUAGCCCAGCUAGAUGAGGUAUUGACCCUCUCUGUCUCUCUGUAGAUAGCCCAGCUAGAUGAGGUAUAGACCCUCUGUCUCUCUGUAGAUAGCCCAGCUAGAUGAGGUAUAGACCCUCUGUCUCUCUGUAGAUCGCCCAGCUAGAUGAGGUAUAGACCCUCUCUGUCUCUCUGUAGAUCGCC